CGGCUUCUACAGCAAAGAAACAGAAGGUAGCUCCAAGUGCUCUGAAAUGGAAAGAAAUGGGGUUUGGUCAUGUUACCCAGGCUGGUCUCAAGCUCCUGGGAUCAAGUGAUCCGUCCGCCUUUGCCUCCCAAAGUGCUGGGAUUACAGCGGGGAGCCACUGCGCCCAGCCCAGCCAGCCCGAUUCUGACCCAGAGGGUUUAGAAGUUGCUUAGACAGAUCUGCUCCUACGGAGUCUUGCUCUGUUGCCCAGACUGGAGUGCAGUGGUGCGAUCUUGGCUCACUGCAACCUCCGCCUCCCGGUUCAAGCGAUUCUUCUGCCUCAGCCUCCCGAGUAGCUGGGACUACAGGUGCCCGCCACCAUGCUCAGCUAAUUUUUGGAUUUUUAGUAGAGACGGGGUUUUACCAUAUUGGCCAGGCUGGUCUCGAACUCCUGACCUUGUGACCCACCCACCUCGGCCUCCCAAAUUGCUGGGAUUACAGGCAAGAGCCACCGCGCCCUGCCGAGAAUUUGCAUUUCUAACAAGUUCCCAGGUGAUGCUGACACUGCUGGCUCAUGGAACCACUGCUGUAGUAUUUUCCAAAUUAUCCUGAUUCUAAGAACCACCUAUGACCUGUGCUGUUUUUUCAGUGGUUACUGGCUCAUGUCACAUAAAUUCUUUUAGGAUUCAAACAUGUUUGUGAUAUUACUCAGUAUUUACAUCUUGCUUUUACUGCAGCAUGAUAGAAAAAUUAACCACAGGUAUAUCAUAACAAAAAGACCAUGAGUUACCAUUUUCACAAAGUUCAGAUAUAUUUAAAUUAGCCUAUUUAAUCUUUUUUUGGUUGUUGUUGAGAUGGAGUCUCACUCUGUCUCUCAGGCUGGAGUACAGUGGCACAAUCUCAGCUCACUGCAACCUCUGCCUCCCAGGUUCAAGUAAUUCUCCUGCCUCAGCCUCCCGAGUAGCGGGGAUUACAGGUGCCCAACACCACACAUGGCUAAUUUUUGUAUUUUUAGUAGAGAUGGGGUUUUGCCAUGUUAGCCAGGCUGGUCUUGAACUCCUGACCUCAGAUGAUCCGCCUGCCUCGGCCUCUCAAAGUGCUGGGAUUACAGGCAUGAGCCAUCGCACCCAGCCUAUGGUACACCUUUACUGAGGAAACAAUUCAGGAACAUCACUCUUAGUAAGGCAAUUGUUGAUUAUAAGUCAAAAAAACACCAUCAUGUACAAAUUCAGGGGAUUUUGUAUACCUUGUUUUUUUGGUUACAAAUAUGCAAAAUUAAAGAUGUUUGCUAAUACUUGUUUCCAAUUUUUAAACUUUUCAAGUGUUGCACUGUUAAUAAUGUUAAAAUAAAAGGCAUUUGACUUAGUAUGAUUGUUUCUUGAACUUCAUCUUUUCAGGUUAUUUUGUUGCUGGCCACUUGCAAGAUUUAUAGGCACUACUGAGGCCUCAGUGCUGAGAUUCAGCAACAUUAUAAUCAUUAUAAUUCAAAGUUUAGUUUUUUGUUUUUUGUUUUUUUUUUUAAAGAGAUGGGGUCAAAAUGCUGCCCAGGCAUGUCUGGAACUCCUGGGCUCAAGCAAUCGUCUUGCCUCAGACUGCCAAGUAGCUGAACUGUAGGCACAUACCACACCUGGCUGUGUUCAGUUUCAUGGGCAAGUCAAACUAUCUAGUGUUUUGUCUGUACAGACAAGGUCAAUGCGACUUCUCCAAGCUUUUAUCACUCAAUGGUCCUACAGGCCCUUGUGAGAUAGAUAGGGUCUUAGAACAAAUAACUCAUUACAAUCCUGGGCAAAUACUCUACUGAACUGGUGAACUGAAAAUGUUUUGCUAAUGGCCCAAAUGUCACCUCAAAUUUUUUUGCCUAGAGGAGUUACACAACUAGUUUGUAUAAUAAUUUAGUUAUACUAGGCCCUCAAGUCUAAUUUGAAACAAAAUACUUGGCAAAGCAAAAUAUAACCUAAGAAAUAAUUCUGAUUUUCUGCUAAUAACAGACUUGGUUUAGUAGUCAAAAAACCUGGACACAAGUCUCACUGCCAAGGUGCUGAGUGACUGUAUAAAUCACAUGAUUUCUAAUUCCAGUUCUCUCAAUCUACAAAAUUAGAACAAGGAUGACUAGCUCAUAUUAAGUAUCCUCUAAACCAUUUUAAAAAUGCAAAAUGCUGUUUUAACUGAUGGUACUUUCAAUUGUAUCUUUUUUUUUUUUUUUUUUGAGACAGAGUCUCAUUCUGUCACCCAGACUGGAGUGCAGUGGCACAGUCUCGGCUCACUGCAACCUACACCUCCCAGGUUCAAGUGGUUUUCCUGCCUCAGCCUCCUGAGUAGCUGGGACUACAGGUGCGUGCCACCACACCUGGCUAAUUUUUGUAUUUUUAAUAGAGAUGGGGUUUUACUGUUGUCCAGGCUGGUCUUGAACUCCUGACCUCAGGUGAUCCACCCACCUUGGCCUUCCAAAGUGCUGGGAUUACAGGCAUGAGCCACCGCACCUGGCCUAAUUGUAUCUUUUGAAGCAAUGACUCCUUCGGAUCUCCAGGAUCCUCCUGAUCUUUAUGCUUCAGAUUGGGAUUUAUCCUUCAGGAAGCUUUCUCUGAACACCUCUAAUUAGACGGGGAGGGGUACUUUGUCUGUGUCACACCUAUCCCCCCAACUCGUGUUGUUUCAUAGCACUUAUCACACUGUGCAUUGUCUGUGGGUUCCUGGAUGCAGGGACGCCUCUAAUCCAUUUUAGCAGUCCAUUGGUGUCUGUCUAUCUCUUCCAGAUAGAAGAAGGCAUCAAACACAGUUCACUGAUGACAAUUUAUUAUAAUCUGUUAGUA
rnacentral:lncRNA from 10 species